GAUGAAGAACGCAGCGAAAUGCGAUAAGUAAUGUGAAUUGCAGAAUUCAGUGAAUCAUCGAAUCUUUGAACGCACAUUGCGCCCGCCAGUAUUCUGGCGGGCAUGCCUGUUCGAGCGUCAUUACAACCCUCAGGCCCCCGGGCCUGGCGUUGGGGAUCGGCGGAAGCCCCCGGCGGGCACAACGCCGUCCCCCAAAUACAGUGGCGGUCCCGCCGCAGCUUCCAUUGCGUAGUAGCUAACACCUCGCAACUGGAGAGCGGCGCGGCCACGCCGUAAAACACCCAACUUCUGAAUGUUGACCUCGAAUCAGGUAGGAAUACCCGCUGAACUUAAGCAUAUCAAUAAGCGGAGGA
rnacentral:misc_RNA from 1 species